rnacentral:rRNA from 1 species
UAAGGAAUAUUGGUCAAUGGACGCAAGUCUGAACCAGCCAUGCCGCGUGAAGGAUGAAGGUCCUCUGGAUUGUAAACUUCUUUUAUCUGGGACGAAAACGGGAUUUUUAUCUCAAUUGACGGUACCAGAGGAAUAAGCACCGGCUAACUACGUGCCAGCAGCCGCGGUGAUACGUAGGGUGCAAGCGUUGUCCGGAAUUAUUGGGCGUAAAGAGCUCGUAGGCGGUUUGUCGCGUCUGCUGUGAAAACCCGAGGCUCAACCUCGGGCCUGCAGUGGGUACGGGCAAACUAGAGUGCGGUAGGGGAGAUUGGAAUUCCUGGUGUAGCGGUGGAAUGCGCAGAUAUCAGGAGGAACACCGAUGGCGAAGGCAGAUCUCUGGGCCGUAACUGACGCUGAGGAGCGAAAGCAUGGGGAGCGAACA